rnacentral:lncRNA from 1 species
CACAAGUGGACAUUUAUUCUUUCAAAACAGAAUUCAGAGGCCAGGCGCAGUGACUUAUGCCUGUAAUCCCAGCACUUUGGGAGGCUGAGCCACUGCGCCUGGCCUAUUUCUUUUUCUUAAAGACAAUUUAAAAAAACUAUCAAGUACCAAUUUGUUGUAACAAUAAAUUUUUGCCAUGUUCCUCCUCUGUGCAAAGGCACCAUGCUUGGCUUUACAGUGACUACAAGAUGGGGGAGAAGGUCUUGCCUUCCAGAAUGCAAAUGACUAUGCUAGGGGAGAGUAUGAGGUAAAUGAAAUGUGCAAAUGCGUAUAUAUACACACACAGACACAUAUUCAUACACAUAAAAAGGACUUGCUUAUUUUUCUG